AAAAAAAAACCCAUUAUAACGUUUUACUAUCACUUCUCAAACUCAAAACACCUCGUGACUGAUCCAAGGAGGACUAGUUUUGAUACAUUAUACACAGCUGGUACAUUCGUCGUUCCCUUAUUGGCCAAUAAUUACUUAUUUUUCUCACACACAGUUAUUUCGUUGAUUUGUGCUCGUUCCUCAUAGGUGUACACCGGCCGUUUAAUUUUGCUCAUCAACUAUAAUAGCCCGACACCGUUCUCUAUUUUCUCUCUUUUCUCUGUCGCAUACACCACAGAGUAUAAGGGCUGAAAAUAUUAUAACGCCCUAUAAAACCCUAUAAAAAACGUCAUUGAAAAAUGUGCUGACAUUUAUUUGUUAUU